CUGAGAUGUCAAGACAACUUACAUGACUUCAGUCUCGACUCAGACCUUGACCCACCACACUGGAGCCUCGUAUGAUGAUGAGUGUCAAUACCACCAACAGCACUGGAGAUGACUCGACACAGAGCUCCUCGGCAGGUCUUGCUGUUGGGCUGACAAUCUUCUUUCUACUUCUUGGGGCCGGAGCUGGUGUACUUGUGUACAAAUACCGCAAUAAAUUGAGGAAUAUGUUGCAGUUUGGACAAAGAAGAAGCCAGGAAAAGGAGGACUAUACUGAGACGCCAGCAGAUGAUUCCCAUCAUUACACCAGUAUGAUCAGAGAGCAGCCAACAGGACAGAUACCUAUUUAUGAAAACCUGACAACUCGAACCGAUGGACACAACAGGCCUGCAGAGAACAACAGCAACAGGUUGCCCAGUGAGCCUGAAGAGGAUGUGUACUUGCAGUGUGACACAAUAGAUGAUGCAAUAUACAGCAAUGAUCCCGAGUGCAACCUCUCAAUCCUCCCAGACACCCAAGAAGAAGAUGUGUAUAUCGUACCGGAUUCAUGAUAGGUCACUGUUCACUGUUCACAUGCUAUAAAUAUGCAUUUUUACAAAGCAAACAUGUGCUGCUGCUUUGUGAUACAGCUGACAUGUAAACAAAAUCUAAUACUGUAGUUUAUAGAGUAUAUUUUAUAGAUACAGGUACAUCUCAAGGAAAUUAUAAUAUCAUGAAAAAGUUCAAUAUUUCUUGUCAAUCAUUUCAGAAAGUGAAACUCAUAUAUUAUAUAGAUUCAUUACAGCUAAAGUGAAAUAUUUCAAGCCUGUUUUUCUUGUAAUUUUCAUGAAAAUCCAAAACUCAGUGUCUCAGAAAAUUUGAAUAUUGUGAAGAAGUUCAAUAUGUGAGUCCUGGGUCAGUGGUGGUUUGGGGCCAUGUCCUCUGCUGCUGUUGGUCCACUGUGUUUUCUGAAGUCCACAGUCAACAUAGCAGCCAUCUAGCAGGACAUUUUAGAGUCUUCGUGCUUCCACAAGCUCUUUGGAGAUGCUGGUUUCAUUUUCCAGCAGGACUUGGCACCUGCCCACACUGGCAAAGGUACCAAAAGCUGGUUCAAUGACCAUGGUGUUACUGGGCUGGACUGGCAAACAUACUCGGCUAACCUGAACCCCAUAGGAGUCUAUGGGCUGUUGUCAAGAGGAAGGUGAGAGAGACCAGAUGACCUGAAGGCUGCUAUAAAAGCAACAUGGUGCCGUAGGCUGAUCUCCUCCAUGCCACACCAUAUUAAUGCAGUAAUUCAUGCAAAAGGAGCCCAACCAAGUAUUGAGAGUAUAUAAAUGAAGAUAAUUUUCGGAAGCAUGACAUUUGUGUGUUUAAAAUAUAUUCUUUCUUUAUUGAUCUUAUGUAAUAUUCUAAUUUUCUGAGACACUGAGUUUUGUGUUUUUAUAUUAUCUGUAAGCCAUAAUCAUCAGAAUGACAAGAAAUACAGGCUUGAAAUAUUUCACUCUAUGUGUAAUGAAUCUAUAUAAUAAUAUACAUAAAAUAAUAAAAAUAAUAUACGAGUUUCACUUUCUGAAAUAAUUGACAAAAAAUAUUGAACUUUUUCACAAUAUUAAAUUUUUUUAGAUGUACCUGUAAAUCGUAUUGUUGUGCAUCAUCUGUAAAGUGAGGAACUGAAUAAUAUGUAUAAGCUGAUGUAUAUCUUGUGUUCACUGUGUUCUUCACUCAAUAAUCAAUUUGCUGAUAAGAUUUGACCGUUUUACGGCUCUGUCCUGAUACAUCUGGAAUUACCCAUAAUUCACUUUCCAUGUUGACCUUUAGAGAAGUGUGGACUUUUUUUUUCACACUUGUGCGGUGAAGCACAAGUGUGUACACGGUGUUUUCUGUUUUCUGCACAGCCUUUUUUGUGUCAGCAGUUAUGCAAAUGACCGCAGAAACAUUUUAGCACCAAAGAUAAUUCAUAUUUAAGUGUUUUUAUUUUCAUAAAAUAGUUCACAAAUAGGUAAAUAUACAAAUAAUAAAUCUGCAAAUACAAAUGACUUUUUUAAUAGAUUAAAAAAUAAAUGUGAAUAUGAAAAUGAAUCUACAUUUUUGCCUGAGUAGGUGGUUUUAUGCACUUGUAUGGUAUUUAUAGUCUUCAUUAUGUCAUUAUAUCAACCUCAGAGUGUCUGUUUUAACAUUGAAACUUGCUUGCUUUUAUAUAAACUAUUCUAUAAACUGUUAUUACCACAAUUAAAAGAAUGUCAUGUUAUUAUGUUAAAAUUAUAGAUGAGUUAUAGGCUUAUUGGGACGAUUUUACUAUUUAUUCAUCCAAAUUAUUGAGAUACGUUUAGUCUGUUUGGAACAAUAAUGCUUUUUAUUUUGAUGUGUUUUUUUCCACAAAAAAGUAUCAUUUCCACAUUAAAAUCUUAAAAAAAAAAAAGACUUCCGCUUCUACCUCAAAAAAAUCCCAAUAAAAAUCCACAUUAUGAAUUUGCAAAUGUCUUGUAUGAGAUGCAAACUGAAUCAGGAUUGACUUAUAAACUAUUUGUGAUGUUACAAAUCACGUUUGUCGGCCCAUCCACCAUAAAUCAAGUUUCCACUUUCAGCAAAUAAGAAAACAGUGUUGUAGUAUCAAACUCUGCAUCCAACUGUAGAAACAGGAAGAGAGAACACAUUUUUGAUUGAAAGGUGGCUUUUAGAACAUUAUGUAAUUGUAUUUUUUGUUUGAAAUAUCACUUUUCUUUCCAGGUCUUUAGCUCACAAUUACUUUUUCUGUAUGUGCUGUUUUUUUGUUGAUGUGGUAAUGAAGAAAAUAAUCAACUUGCUCACUUUUGCUAAAAUACUAUGCAGAAAAGACAUACUUUGCAAAAAUUCCCAUGGUUGUAUAUAGUAUGAGCCAAAAACCAUUGCAAAACAUGGUUCCUCUGCACAUACAAAUUAAAGCACACCACCAAGACAUAC